rnacentral:rRNA from 1 species
AACUUUCAACAACGGAUCUCUAGGCUCUCGCAUCGAUGAAGAACGCAGCGAAAUGCGAUAAGUAAUGUGAAUUGCAGAAUUCAGUGAAUCAUCGAAUCUUUGAACGCACCUUGCGCCCCUUGGUAUUCCGAGGGGCAUGCCUGUUUAGUGUCU